rnacentral:rRNA from 1 species
UGCAGUCGAACGAGAAGUCUCAGUUUCGAUCCUUCGGGAGAGAAAUUGAGGUGGAGAGUGGCGAAAGGGUGAGUAACGCGUGGGUAAUCUACCCCUAAGUCGGGGAUAACUUCGCGAAAGCGUAGCUAAUACCGGAUGUGAACCUUCAGCGCAUGUUGAAGAGUUUAAAGGCGGGGAUCCUUCGGGACCUGUCGCUUGGAGAGGGGCCCGCGUCCUAUCAGCUUGUUGGUGAGGUAACGGCUCACCAAGGCUAAGACGGGUAGCUGGUCUGAGAGGAUGGUCAGCCACACUGGGACUGAGACACUGCCCAGACUCCUACGGGAGGCUGCAGUCGAGGAUCAUUGGCAAUGCGCGAAAGCGUGACCAUGCGACGCUGCGUGGAGGAUGAAGGCCUUCGGGUCGUAAACUCCUGUCAUGAGGGAGUAACUGCUCUCAUCUGAAUAGGGUGAGGAACUUGAUAGUACCUCAAGAGGAAGUCACGGCUAACUCUGUGCCAGCAGCCGCGGUAAUACAGAGGUGGCGAACGUUGUUCGGAUUUACUGGGCGUAAAGGGUGCGUAGGUGGAUUCGUGUGUUGGAUGUGAAAUCCCAUGGCUCAACCGUGGAACUGCAUUCAAAACUGCGGAUCUAGGGUACAGAAGGGGAGAGCGGAAUUCUUGGUGUAGCGGUGAAAUGCGUUGAUAUCAAGAAGAACACCGGUGGC